rnacentral:misc_RNA from 1 species
GUGGGAGGGGGCUUGCUCCCGAUGGCGGUGUGUCAGCCAGCUCACCUGUAGCUGACACACCGCCAUCGGGAGCAAGCCCCCUCCCAC